rnacentral:rRNA from 1 species
UACGUAGGGGGCAAGCGUUGUCCGGAUUUAUUGGGCGUAAAGAGCGUGUAGGCGGCCAGACAGGUCAGCUGUGAAAACUCGAGGCUCAACCUCGAGACGUCGGUUGAAACCGUCUGGCUAGAGUCCGGAAGAGGAGAGUGGAAUUCCCGGUGUAGCGGUGAAAUGCGCAGAUAUCGGGAAGAACACCAGUGGCGAAGGCGACUCUUUGGCCUGUAACUGACGCUGAGGCGCGAAAGCGUGGGGAGCAAACAGG